rnacentral:sRNA from 1 species
GACACCGGAAGAGGACGGACCUAAGAUGGCGGCCUCCAGGGGGCUGGGAAUAGCCGCUCAUGUCGGCUAACGGAGUGGUGUGGGGCCGCGUGCGAAGCCGCCUCCACGGCCCCGGGCGGCCGCCUGAGUAAGGACUUUUGCGCGCGGGAGUUCGAGGCCCUGCGGAGCUGCUUCGCCGCCGCGGCCAAGAAGACGCUGGAGGGAGGCUGUUAGGAGGGACUCUGAGCUUCACACCUGUCUGCUGCCAUGGGUGCAGAGCCCUAGUCCUGAUGGCCCCU